rnacentral:tRNA from 1 species
UCCCUGGUGGUCCAGUGGUUAGGACUCCACACUUCCACUGCAGGGGCAUGGGUUCAAUCCCUGGUCAAGGAA